ACACACAGCUAGCUCUUCAGGCCAGGCCCCCAGGGUUUCGUCCACCUCUCACCUUUGACGACGCGGUCAGCCCCGGGAGGGGGCGGCGGGGGCGGGGGUGGGGGCGGUGCAGCCCGGGCCGGCUCCGGGGCGGCCAUGCUGGGCCCGGGGCUCGGCUAGGCUCUGGGCCGGGCGGGGUUGGGGGCGGGGGCGGCGGCUACCAGAGCCAAGCGGCGGCGCCGCCGGGGAACAUGGCGGACCCUCUUUCCCUACAGAGGGGCUAAGACCGGCAUGCACUGCGCGUGCGGGGGUGGGGGCGGGGUAGGCUCUAGGGACUUGGGCAAAAUUACUGAAGCUAGGAGAGAAACAGGACGAGGCCAAGGGAUCAGGUUAAAAUUCUUUGCAUGCAGAAUGAAGAAUGAGGAGGUGCUGCGAUCGAACGACUGCGAGGAAACACACCCGCUCUCAUGGCAUUCCCAGUAAACUGAGAAGACGUGAUUAAACCUCAGGAUCUCCUACUAAUAGAGAAAUGUAUAACGAUUUAGCUACCAGAUCUGAAUACUGAAGGGUUGGUAGGGGACCAGAGAAUAGAGGAAGCAUUGUAGGUUCUAGAGUGGAGAAGGGACCAUCCAAAAUGGAGUUUGAAAGAGAAUUCUGGCCUUUGUGUUUAGAGUCUGGAAUUGUCAAGAGUCUGAAAGCACAGAAUAAGACUGCAGCUAGAGCAAUUUAGGCGCCAUAGUUUGUCAAAACAGAGACGGGAUCUCACUGUGUUGCCCAGGCUGGUCUCGAACUGCUGGACUCAAGUCAUCCUCCCAUCUUGGCCUCCCAAAGUGCUGGAAUUACAGUGGACAACCUUCAAUGCACUGGUACUUUGUACCCUGACCUCUACUGUGAUGAACACUCAACUUGGGCAAGGAAGUGAAAUUCUCCAAAGACAAGGUCUUGCUCUGUCACCCAGGCUGGAGUGUGGCAGUGCCAUCACGGCUCACUGCAGCCUUGACCUGCCGGGCUAACCGAUUCUUCCACCCAAGCCUCCUAAGUAGCUGGGACCACAGGAAUUAUUAAGAUAAGGACCAGCAGUACAAUGAGCUUUUCACUGUAUGUCUGACCUGAAAGAAGAAAAUCUUUUCAGAGGACUCCUCUCUCCCCUUCAGUCGCCAAGACAAUGAGAGCUCUUGCUACAGAAUACUCAUGGUCAUUUCUUCCCC
rnacentral:lncRNA from 1 species